rnacentral:tRNA from 1 species
GGCUCAGUUGAUAGAGCAUGGUGUUUGCAACGCCAGGGUUGUGGGUUCAAUUCCCAC